UGCAGGGCGUCACUGUUUCCAUACUCUUAAUUCCUUCCCAAGACACCUCCAGCUCACGGCGGGUACCUUUGCCAAGUCAUCUCAGCCUCAGUCACCAUCACGCUGGGGUCUUUUUCAGUAUAAAAUGUCUCAUCCACCUAAAAUAAAGCUCUUGAUAAGAUUAGUCUUAUAAACUGUGUGGAUGCUGAGGCGGUACGCUCCAGAUUGGCCCACAGUAACAGAGUGUCAGGAUCUCAGGAAACGGCUUCUGCACGCCCCCCGUGCCUUUGUCUUGGUUGCAGAGCAGAGGCAAGCACGAGGCCCACGGUUUGACGGACAUGACCCCCCCCCCCAUCCUUGAGAAACCACUGUGAAAACAGAGGUGACAUCAUUUUGUGAAGGACACAGCGUUCUUCCACUCACACAGGCCAUGAAAAAUAGGUGGCAAAAUCAAACACGUGAGGCACAAUUUAUGUCAUAAAUGUACGGCAAAUUUGAACCACUGGCAGUUAGUCAGGUUGUUGGCUUCUGGUUUGCGGGGACCGGUUGUCCCUGCAGUGCUGUGGCUUAGGCCAUAGGGUAGUUCAUGUCGCGUGACUGAUCUGACACUGAGCCCCGGUAAAGGCAUUCCAGCCUGCAAUACCCUCUUCCUUUACUCCGACGCUGUUCGGAUUUCUUCGCGUCUCCCUGCUGAGGCAACCAGGAAUUACAGGUUCAUGCGAGUUCAUCUGUACAAAGCCACAGAACACCUCCUUUCUCAUGCAGGAACCUAGCAGAUACAGUCCGCUAUUGGCAGGGAUCGCUAAUGUGAUGCAGGAAGACUCAUCCUCGAACAGUUUUCCGCUCCUCGUCCUGGAAGAAAAGUUUAUGCUUGCAGUGUUGUCCAAGGACAAAACCAAUACAGAAGUUCAGGAACAGAAUUUUUUGUACCCAAAUGGAAGCUGCAUCUUCUUAGUGCGAUCUCUCAGCCAUGGCAUCAGUUGAGGCAGGUACCGAGAGGUAACCCUCAUUUCAGACCGCAGGGUUGAAACCGGGAAGACCAGUCGAGAGAACGAGAACUAGACCCUGAUGGAAGCGGGACAAAACCCGCCUUCGGGCGACCGUUACCGCCGCGACGCGGCCCGCGGGCGCCAUCUUGUGGGCAGGCGGCCAUUAGCCGCGGGCGCGCCGGUCACGUCCCCCUUCUCCUGAGGGGGCUCCCGGGCGGCCGGGCCGAUCGGUACGGCCGGCGCUGCGGAGCGCGCGGGCCCCGCCGGUCGGAGCGGCGGCGGCUGCCGGCCCCAGGGUGCCCUGAGGGGGCUCAUGUCGGGGGCGCUGGCGGCUGUUUCCAGCACAGCGCCCAACAGUGACCUGAGUGCACGAGUUGUGGGGGCGUGACGGCUCCGAGGCUUUCAGAAUUCCCUUGUUUCCCCUUUCUCUCCGAGCACUUGAUUUACGGAUGAAAGACUUCGCAACUCAGGGUUGUAAAGCAGAUUGUGGAGUCUGUUUUCCGCAAUUCAGUAGGGACGCAGCGAUGCGUUUGAAGUCCUCUACAUCUGCGCUGAGAUAUGGACCUAACUUGCAAAGCAAAUGUGGAAAAUGUCUGCAAGCAUGGGACUGAAAGAGAUGACACUUGGGGAGGGAAGUCUGUGAGACGGUCAGUUUGCUGCUGCUGCCACUGAUGGGGAGCCUCUUGAGGGUCGUGGUACCAUCUCAGAGCAACGACCCAAGGAGGCAGCUGACUUCUGUCAAAGUCCCUGUUCUCUGUUGACCAAAGGCAUUGCACCGGCUGGUGAGAUUUCUUCUUCCCCCUUCCUCUUCCCUUUCCCUGCUUCCCAGGGGAAUCGGAUGAUUAAGUGAUGGAGACUUAAGUAAUAGCAACGAUCAUCAGCAAGACUCAGAAAGAGAACUGCAGUGCAAAACAAACAAACUUUCAGCAGGAACCCAUUUUUAAUAUACUCUGCAGCACGUUUAAUAAUGUAAUUCUCCAGUGCAUCUGCAUGUUUCACUAUACUUGUGAAGGAGAAGAAACACUGGCUCAUGCAAAAUUGCUCUGAAGCAUUCAUUGAUACACCGAAAAUUCAGCAGGCCUACACCAAGUUAUGAUGUUGGGCUUUUUAUGGGUAAUUUGAUGCAAAGGAGAAACUUUUUUCUUUCAUGCGUGCAGAUUUUGUCGAAGGUGGUGACUCUUGGUUUUGUGAAGAUAAACUUCUUGCCUUUUCGAGCAUAGACGCGCCUCUGACCUUAUCUCCAGAAUAGCAAUAGAAUUUAUUAACACGAUGUGGGGCCCCAUGUGAACUGGAAUACCUUUGCUUCACUUGCUUCGGUUUUGUGUCUUUGCUCAUUUCUAAAGGGGGGAAAAUAACAAUUUUCUGAUAGUUUUGUCUGUUGCUUCCGGUCUUGUGAAACUAAUGGUAAAAUAUUCGAAGUGUUAAUCUUUAGGUGCAUUUUUUUUUUCUACAGUCUGCCAAAUUCUGUUAGCUAAAACACGGCCAAAAAGUCACACUAAGCAUGAGAAAAGACAAUGGAGUAACCUUUGCCAGCUGCUGUAUAGAACACCAACUUUUGUACAGCUUGGAGAAAAAAUGGAGUAUCAACUCCCUGGGAGAAGAAAAAAAGGAGCAUUUGAUGCUUUGAUGGUGAGAGAGGAGCUAUGAACAAUCUCUCAUUUCAGUUAAAAAUUGUUUAUACUCCUGAUUUACUCGCUGGAGAUACCACAGUAUCACUAACAACUCUUUGGUACCGUUUGUGACAACUGAUAAUUGAACUGCUUUAAAAUGGGAGUGACAGUUCAUCUCAGCCGUGACACAGAGCAGGCUGUGGUGUUCUCUGCAGCAAGGAGCCGCUGCAUGGGCAAGGGAGAACUGUUGAAGCUGCUUCUCCUCAACUUCCACUGGCAGACAGGGAUGUCGCCAGAAAUCAGCAAAACCAGGGCCGGGCCAGCAGCUGGGGCAAGUGCAGGCUCCAAGGGCACUUGGAGGCCCUUGUUAGUAACCUGAGAGUAAAAGAAUAAAGAAACCUCUGACAACUGCAGGAAAAGUCUUAGUCUCUCAUGACUGCAAGCAGUGCAGCUGGCGUCGCUAUUGCUGCCACCCGUCACGGUUUCUCCUCCUUCUCCUGGUGCUCUACUCACCUUUCCCCUCGUGUUUCCAUUGCUUGUGUCCCUCUCCCGUCUACAGUUAUCCCACCAUCUUUCUUUCCUGCUUUCUUAAAUGGUACUGUUUUCUUCUAUUAUUCUCAUAGUGUUCUGUCUCUUGUUGUUUUAGAGGGAUUCUGUUAUAUUUCCAGAGAGCUUCCUUCCUCUCCAGGUACUUAAUGCAGAUGCCACUUUUGGCUUGGACACAUCCUCUAGCUUUUCAUAUUGUCUCAGCAGAGCAGCCAUGGGACGAGCUGAAUGAUGCUGGUUUGAUGCUUGUGUCAGUCUCCGCAAGCUCUGCUUAAAACCACAUGAACUCCUUGCAAGCACAGAAAACCCGUGUGUAGGCCAUAAGUAGGUGUAACACAGGCGUUAUCUCCCUUUGUUUAAAAACAAGGUAUUGAUGACUUGCCUUAAAGAGUGACCUGUGUGAACCGACUCUACUUAGGUGAAGUUCACUUUGCACUAUUAAUGUUCCCAGUAUUUGUAAGGCUUUUUAAAUUGUAACUUUAUUAUAUAAAUGGUCUCACAGAAA